GAUGAACGCUGGCGGCGUGCCUAAUACAUGCAAGUCGAGCGAACGGACGAGAAGCUUGCUUCUCUGAUGUUAGCGGCGGACGGGUGAGUAACACGUGGAUAACCUACCUAUAAGACUGGGAUAACUUCGGGAAACCGGAGCUAAUACCGGAUAAUAUUUUGAACCGCAUGGUUCAAAGUUAAAGACGGUUUUGCUGUUCACUAUAGAUGGAACCGCGCCGCAUUAGCUAGUUGGUAAGGUAACGGCUUACUAAGGCAACGAUGCAUAGCCGACCUGAGAGGGUGAUCGGCCACACUGGAACUGAGACACGGUCGAGACUCCUACGGGAGGCAGCAGUAGGGAAUCUUCCGCAAUGGGCGAAAGCCUGACGGAGCAACGCCGCGUGAGUGAUGAAGGUCUUCGGAUCGUAAAACUCUGUUAUUAGGGAAGAACAUAUGUGUAAGUAACUGUGCACAUCUUGACGGUACCUAAUCAGAAAGCCACGGCUAACUACGUG
rnacentral:rRNA from 1 species